rnacentral:rRNA from 1 species
AAUCCCGUGAACCAUCGAGUCUUUGAACGCAAGUUGCGCCCGAAGCCUUCGGGCGGAGGGCACGCCUGCCUGGGCGUCACGCAUCGCGUCGCCCCCCGCCCCCGCGGGGAGUGCGGAGAUUGGCCUCCCGUGCGCCUCGGCGCGCGGCCGGCCC